rnacentral:tRNA from 1 species
GGUUGUGGCUCAGUGGCAGAACACUUGCCUGGCAUGUAUGAGGCACUGGGUUCGAUUCUCAGCACCA